GUGCCAGCAGCCGCGGAUAAUACGGAGGGUGCAAGCGUUAAUCGGAAUUACUGGGCCGUAAAGCGCACGCAGGCGGUCUGAUCAAGUCAGAUGUGAAAUCCCCGGGCUUAACCUGGGAACUGCAUUUGAAACUGGCAGGCUUGAGUCUUGUAGAGGGGGGGUAGAAUUCCAGGUGUAGCGGUGAAAUGCGUAGAGAUCUGGAGGAAUACCGGUGGCGAAAGGCGGCCCCCUGGACAAAGACUGACGCUCAGGUGCGAAAGCGUGGGGAGCAAACAGGAUUAGAUACCCUGGUAGUCC
rnacentral:rRNA from 1 species